AUAGUACUCCCUCCAUUCGGAAUUACUUGUCGCGGAAAUGGACGUAUCUAGACAUAUUAUAGUUCUAGAUAUAUCCAUAUCCGAGACAAGUAAUUCCAAAAAGAGAGAGUAUAUA
rfam:Triticum aestivum genome assembly, contig: Triticum_aestivum_CS42_TGACv1_scaffold_307120_4AS